rnacentral:rRNA from 1 species
AGAGUUUGAUCAUGGCUCAGGACGAACGCUGGCGGCGCGCUUAACACAUGCAAGUCGAACGUGAAGCCCGGGCUUGCCCGGGUGGAAAGUGGCGAACGGGUGCGUAACACGUGAGCAACCUGCCCCGAAGACCGGGAUAACACCGGGAAACCGGUGCUAAUACCGGAUGCCCUCAUCACGUCGCAUGGCGAGAUGAGGAAAUGGAUUCCGCUUCGGGAUGGGCUCGCGGCCUAUCAGCUUGUUGGUGGGGUAACGGCUCACCAAGGCUACGACGGGUAGCUGGUCUGAGAGGAUGUCCAGCCACACUGGGACUGAGACACGGCCCAGACUCCUACGGGAGGCAGCAGUGGGGAAUCUUGCACAAUGGGCGAAAGCCUGAUGCAGCGACGCCGCGUGCGGGAUGACGGCCUUCGGGUUGUAAACCGCUUUCAGCAGGGACGAUAAUGACGGUACCUGCAGAAGAAGCCCCGGCCAACUACGUGCCAGCAGCCGCGGUAAUACGUAGGGGGCAAGCGUUGUCCGGAUUUAUUGGGCGUAAAGAGCUCGUAGGCGGUUUGGUAAGUCUGGUGUGAAAUCUCCACGCUCAACGUGGAGGGGCCACCCGAUACUGCCAUGACUGGAGUCCGGUAGAGGAGUGUGGAAUUCCCGGUGUAGCGGCGAAAUGCGCAGAUAUCGGGAGGAACACCCGUAGCGAAGGCGGCACUCUGGGCCGGUACUGACGCUGAGGAGCGAAAGCGUGGGGAGCAAACAGGAUUAGAUACCCUAGUAGUCC